rnacentral:lncRNA from 1 species
CUGAGAAAGGCCUUAGCUGAAAGCCUUUGGAAAAAUGACCUCUGAAUUGAGGCACCUGAGCAAGGCAGUGUAUAUUGCAGAAGAGCAUAGCGGGCCAGUGUGGCCUGAGUCCCUGACUGCAACUCCGUCCUGAGACGGCAGCGUGUUGGCUGUGCCCCAGCUCAGUGUAGCGAGGACAGCUUUCUGCUCCUGAGGCCUGCUAGUGCCUUUGGGCUUCCCGGUGAAAUCCUCUUCGGAUAGCAUCUGUCUUUCAGACCUGUCAGUCAUAACAUACUGACAUGCUGAGCCCUAAUGGUGUGUUGGUCCUUCUAGUUGUGGGAUGUGAGAUGCUGCCUCAACGAGGCGUGAUGAGCGGUGCCAUGUCUGUGCCCAGGAUCCGAACCCUGGGCCGCCGCAGUGGAGCUUGCGAACUUAACCACUCAGCUAUGGAGCCGGCCCCACUAGCAAAGAUUUCGAUACUUUCUUUUAUUUCUAUUAACAUAUUCAGCAUAGUUAUUUUAAAGUCUCUGUGUGAUAACCUUUUAUCUCAUGAUCUUGAUGAUGUUUUUGUGUUUUCUGAGAUUUUGGUCUCAUCUCUUAUCCUUAUAUCCUUAUCCUUAUAUGUCUGACGAUUUUUGUCUGAGUGAUGAACUUUGCAUUUUUAAAAUGUAGGAGAAAAAAAGCCUGGAAGCGAAGUAAUGUUAUCUUCCUUCAGAGAACAUUUAUAUUUGCUUCUGAAAGAUGACUGACACCAGCCAUUUGGAUUACAUAAAUCUACCCUUAGGGACUAAGGUGAUGCAAAGCUUUGCUUCAGUCCUCAAGCAUAGUUCUAUUUGUGUCUCUUCCUUAAUCCUAUAAUGUAUUCAUUUGUGGUCCCUGCCCAAUGUGCUCGGGAUUUCCCAUGGCACUCUCCUAUGAAUAACCUUCAACUCUAAUUUUUGUCUUGUUAGACAUACAAGACAAUUAAAAUUUCUCUCCUUCUUGGGUUCACAGGUGCUUUUCUGGAAUGCACAGAUACCUUAGGGGCAAUGUGGUCCUAAAUGCUGAGCAAAGUUUCUUUGUGUCCUUCUCUUAUAUCUCAAGUCCUAUAUUUUUUCACUGCCUUC